rnacentral:rRNA from 1 species
GAUGAACGCUGGCGGCGUGCCUAAUACAUGCAAGUCGAGCGAACAGACGAGGAGCUUGCUCCUCUGACGUUAGCGGCGGACGGGUGAGUAACACGUGGAUAACCUACCUAUAAGACUGGGAUAACUUCGGGAAACCGGAGCUAAUACCGGAUAAUAUAUUGAACCGCAUGGUUCAAUAGUGAAAGACGGUUUUGCUGUCACUUAUAGAUGGAUCCGCGCAGCAUUAGCUAGUUGGUAAGGUAACGGCUUACCAAGGCAACGAUGCGUAGCGGGCCUGGGAGGGUGACCGGCCCCGGUGGGCCCGAGAUGGGGCCAAGACUGCUACGGGCGGCAGGAGUGGGGAAUAUUGCAGAAUGGGCGGAAGCGUGAGGCAGAAAAUCCGCGUGCGGGAUGAAGGCCUUCGGGGUGUAAAAAGAUUUAGACUGUGACGAAGCGUGAGUGACGGUAAUGGGUAAAGAAGCAACGGCUAACUACGUG